GUCACUUCCUGCCGUUCUCAAAAUGGCGGCGCGCAGGGUUCUCCGGCUCGCGGAGCGCCAGGCGAGAUCGCUCCGCCCCUUGCCCCGCCCACCGCAGCGGAUCGGCCAAUGGCGAGAGGCCCAGGGUCUCUCCCCGAGUCCCUCCGGGCCCGGACCCCUCAGGGACCUCCCGGAUUGGAGCUUUUCGGGUAAAAAAAUCGGAAUUUUGGGAAAAUUGGGGGAAAUUUGGGAAUUUUGGGGGAAAAAUGGGAAUUUUGGGGUAAAAAUGGGAAUUUUGGGAAAAAAAAUUGGAGUUUUUGUGGAAAAAAUGGGAAUUUUGGGGGAAAAAUGGGAAUUUUGGAAUCAAAAAAUGGGAAUUUUGGGGGAAAAAUGGGAAUUUUGGGGGGAAAUUCGGGGAUUUUGGGGGAAAAAAUGGGAAUUUUGGGG
rnacentral:lncRNA from 1 species